rnacentral:rRNA from 1 species
CGGACGGGUGAGUAAUGCAUGGGAAUCUGCCCGAUAGUGGGGGAUAACCUGGGGAAACCCAGGCUAAUACCGCAUACGUCCUACGGGAGAAAGCAGGGGAUCUUCGGACCUUGCGCUAUCGGAUGAGCCCAUGUCGGAUUAGCUUGUUGGUGAGGUAAUGGCUCACCAAGGCGACGAUCCGUAGCUGGUCUGAGAGGAUGAUCAGCCACAUCGGGACUGAGACACGGCCCGAACUCCUACGGGAGGCAGCAGUGGGGAAUAUUGGACAAUGGGCGAAAGCCUGAUCCAGCCAUGCCGCGUGUGUGAAGAAGGCCCUCGGGUUGUAAAGCACUUUCAGUGGGGAAGAAAGCCUCGGGAUUAAUACUUCCGAGGAAGGACAUCACCCACAGAAGAAGCACCGGCUAACUCCGUGCCAGCAGCCGCGGUAAUACGGAGGGUGCGAGCGUUAAUCGGAAUUACUGGGCGUAAAGCGCGCGUAGGCGGUCUGAUCAGCCGGUUGUGAAAGCCCCGGGCUCAACCUGGGAACGGCAUCCGGAACUGUCAGGCUAGAGUGCAGGAGAGGAAGGUAGAAUUCCCGGUGUAGCGGUGAAAUGCGUAGAGAUCGGGAGGAAUACCAGUGGCGAAGGCGGCCUUCUGGACUGACACUGACGCUGAGGUGCGAAAGCGUGGGUAGCAAACAGGAUUAGAUACCCUGGUAGUCCACGCCGUAAACGAUGUCGACUAGCCGUUGGG